GCUACGAUGGAAGGGUAAAACCCCUAGCCGUCGUGUCUCUCUCUUUCCAUCGUCACCUUCAAUGCUAAAAUAGCAAGGUUGCCACGCGUUUUUGCUUUACACAGGACCUGUGUGUCCAUUUUGGGUAAAGCAGUUAAUGCUUUAUCCUCUCUCCACCAUAUCUCAGCCAAACGAGGUGGUUAAGUUUGGCCCUAUUUGAUUUGUCAAACCUUUGCUCCAAACUUUCCCACAGGUCCUUGGCUAUUUUGGAUGACGUUACACUGUCAGCUAUAUCCUUUGACAGUGCAUUCAAAAUCCAGGAAAUUACCAUAUCAUUGCAGCAGUUCCAUUGUUCAUAUUCAGCUGUAUCUGGAUCUAGAGAUCUGCAACCUUCAUUUAUGAAAUCAAGUUUCUUUUUGGUUGAUAGAGAUAGUAGAAUGGAUCUCCUCCAUUCUGGAAACCCUCUUCCAUCAAAUAUUGUAUUGACCAGGGCUAUUCCAAGUGAGUCGGAGAAGCCCAAGUAAUAAGGAUGAGUGUGAACAAUAGUGAAUGUUUUUCUAGCAUUAGCUGAUGUAGAAUCUGCAGUUUCAAUCAUUUUCUAUUUCUAAAUAAUCUGUAGCAGAUGAAAUUGAAAGAGACUUGGAUCGAGCUAUUGCUCUAAUACCAUGAAAGAAUUGAAGAAGACUGAGAUGGGAAAAAUUCCUCUAUAUCUUUCUCAUUUCACUGUAAAUGUAUUUAUACAUCUAAAUAUGUACAAAUAAUAAAAGGAAAAUUAAAUAGGCUAAAAAUAGGCUAUAUACUAUA